rnacentral:snRNA from 1 species
CCUAACGGCGUGCCUCGG